rnacentral:lncRNA from 1 species
CUCCUCUGCUGACAGACUAAUUAAGACCUGGUUUGACACUGAAAAACUCUGCUAAAUGAAAUAUCCUUAGGUGCAGGAGUGGUACUGAGCUCUGGAGAAGCCAUGAGCUCUGGAGCAGCUGUGAGCUCUAGAGAAGCAUCUGUGGAACAUACAUCGGAGUGCUGUGAAUAUCCCAGGGCCAGUUCUUUGCAAAAGGGAAGACAUGUUUGGUUGACUGACACACAGGGGUGUGAGUUCAAGACCAGCCUGGGUAUGACCGUCUCUAAAUAAAUACAGCAAACUGGUUAUGGCUGGGUGGCAGAUCACGUGCCUAGCACUCGUGACUCCCUGGGCUCCGUGCCCAGCACCUCAACAAGGAAAGAAAUGGC